rnacentral:lncRNA from 10 species
AAAAGGUUGAAUACUAAAGCAUCCGAUAAACAGUUUUCCUACGGGGACUCAGACAGCUGAUAGGCCUGUGAGUGUUUGUAACUCCAGAUGUUUUAACUUUUCAGUUUCUCCGCGCCCUGUGUGGUGAUUCUGCACUUAGGAGAUUUAUUUAAACUGCAGCCACCGGAGACUGCCAGCUGCAAGCGACCCCAGCACCUCGUGGUGAGCAGGUCUUCCGGAAUCACUACAACUGUCGCAGGUGGGGCCUUGUUUGCUACUUGUUGAGACGUUUAAAAGACAUUUUGGCAGAAAGCACCGCCUCCCCCACCCCAAGCUGGACCCCGCGUCCAGCUGUGGGCCACCACUAAACCCACAAAGCGACCGGAUCCCUUGGAAGCGGCGGCCUGGAGGAAGCAGCCUGUCCCGAAGAAUCUGUGCAUUAUUUAUUCAGGCAAAGAGGAUAUUCAUUUCAACCAGGACGGGAAAUGUUCGAUUAUGUAACAUUGGGGACGAAGAGAAUGAGGCUUUUUUUUAUUUUUUCUUUUUCCUGGAGAAAAGUGUUGCGAAAUAGUCCAAGAACAGCUUCCAGUUUCCACAGUCCCUGUGCUUCCAGAGGCUUCUAAAUGACAAGAUCAAGGCGCCUGAGAAGCUAGAGAAUUGACGAGCACGGGACCCUCAACAGCUCCCCCUGAGCCUCCCCCACCCCUCAGCACCGCCGUCCCCUCCUGCCAUCAGGAGCGUGGAAAGCUCUUGCUGUCGCUUUCAUCAGUCAUCUCAGAGUCUCCUCGGUCCAAUCGUCCUGAGGCAUUUUCCCCACCUGUUCACACUCCAGCGCAACCCCAGAAACAAUCGUUAUUUCUAUGGUCUACUGCACAGAGCCAGCCAGAAAUAUAAUUAAGAAUCAUUCACAGGGAUGUGCAAACAAGACUGGGCUUGACCAACACAUCAAAAUUUCAGAAGACGAGCUGGGGACCAGAGAGCUUGGUACCUGUAGUUGCAGCUACUGGAGAGGCUGAGGCAGGAGGAUCCCUUCAGUUCAGGAGUUUGAGAUCAGCCUGGAUGACAGAAUGCAGUCCAAACCUUGACUCUACCUCGUAACUCAUUACCACCUCCACCUGUGCCUUGGAAUCUGCAGGCAGGUGCUGGCCUUCCCUUCUGGAGACCACAGCCAGCUCUCUGCUGCCCCCACCUGGUCCAUAGCAGAACCUGCAGACGGUAACCUGGCAAAUUGGUCCUUAAAUCUAUGGCGGCUUCACCAGUUUCCGGCAUCAAUUCGAAUUUUGCUAAUUUUGUUUCACCAUAGCCUGGCUUGACUUACGGGUCUCAAACAAUGCUUAAUGUUUAAUGGCCAAAUUAUGCUAACAAGCAAAUGAUCAAACUUAGGGGAAGCACUUUAUUUUUUAAGGUAAGUGCAAAACAGUGGUAGCAUUGUGAUCAUUCUGAAAAAUCUAGCCUAAAAUGAUGGCUUUUUUGUUUCUAAUCACUAGAACACACUAUGUAAGUGUAGAGUUAUUCCAAAAUGUGACCAUUUUUGUAACACUGAUUUUUUUUUCAUUCCAGUUCAAAUUUCCUAUAAUAGUAGUAACAGACGGUGGGGAGGAGGGGAAGAAGGAGGAAGAGGAGGAAAAGGAGAUGACUCAGCUAUAGUUCCCCUAACCCUCUUGGUUUAUGAAGCAGCUCAGAAACUUAUUAGAACAAAUUCCAGCAUCCGAGACCACUGAGCUAACCAUCCAACCACCCACACCCAAAGAAAUAGCAAGAACAUAAGUUUGGACCUGACCUGCUCAGCUCUCCACCACAAGCCUCUGGCUAGACUCAGGUACACAGUAGACCCUCAGUGAGUACUUAGUGAAUAAAUCAAUGAAUACGCACGUAAUUAGUAAUGUUUUCUAAACCAUACAUUCACUCAGUGCACUAGAAACACUUGUUAUUUUAUAUAGUCUGGCAAUAUAACAGCACUUGCUUCUAAUAUUGUACUCAAUAGUACAAGUGCCAUUCUCUCUCACCCUUAGUUAUUUCUAUUAAUAACUUCAACUCCAUAUUAUAUAUUUUUAAAUGGCCUAGGAGUGAGAAAAACAUUUAUUUUCAUAAACCAUCAAGGAAUUCCACUGCUAUGAUUGAAAAAUAAAAGGUCUGAAAAUACAUGUCUACAUUUUUUCACCUUUUGAAAACAUAGCAUUUCUCAACAGAAAUCCAAUGCAGUUUUACAAAUAUUCUCUUGUCCAUGAACUUUCACUGACAUCCAGAAGGUAUAACAGUGGGGCAGGUGAGUUUGGUGGUCUUAGGCAGAAUGGAACUGCAACUUAGGUUCAGUGGAAAAUGAUGCAAUUUCCUUGCAAAUCAAAACCACAAUGAAAUACCGUCUCACGCCAGUUAGAAUGGCGAUCAUUAAAAAGUCAGGAAACAACAGAUGCUGGAGAUGAUAUGGAGAAAUAGGAACACUUUUAUACUGUUGGUGGGAGUGUAAAUUAGUUCAACAAUUGUGGAAGACUCUGUGGCAAUUCCUCAAGGAUCUAGAACCAGAAACACCAUUUGACCCAGCAAUCCCAUUACUGGGUAUAUACUAAAAGGAUUAUAAAUUAUUCUAUAAAGAUACAUGCACACGCAUGUUUAUUGCAGCACUAUUUACAACAGCAAAGACUUGGAACCAACCCAAAUGCCCAUCAAUGAUAGACUGGAUAAAGGAAAUGUGGCACAUAUACACCAUGGAAUACUAUGCAACCAUAAAAAAGAAUGAGUUCCUGUCCUUUGCAGGGACAUGAAUGAAGCUGGAAACCGUCAUUCUCAGCAAACUAACACAGGAACAGAAAACCAACCACUGCAUGUUCUCACUCAUAAAUGGGAGUUGAACAAUGAGAACACAUGGACACAGGGAGGGGAACAUCCCACACCAGGGCCUGUUGGGUGGUGGGGGACAAGGGGAGGGAGAGCAUUAGGACAAAUACCUAAUGCAUGCAAGGCUUAAAACCUAGAUGACAGGUUGUUGGGUGCGGCAAACAACCAUGGCACAU